UGCAAGUCGAACGAGAAAGUUCCUUCGGGAACGAGUAAAGUGGCGGAAGGGUGAGUAAUACGUAGACAACCUACCUUUUAGAGGGGGAUAACUCCUGGAAACAGGGGCUAAUACCGCAUAGUCAACCGCGACCUCCUGGCCGUSGUUKUACAGGGGGCUCUGCUCUCGCUAGAAGAGGGGUCUACGCACUAUCAGCUUGUUGGUGAGGUAAUGGCUCACCAAGGCGAUGACGGUUAGCCGAGCUGAGAGGCUGAACGGCCACACUGGGACUGAGACACUGCCCAGACUCCUACGGGAGGCUGCAGUAGGGAAUUUUGCGCAAUGGACGAAAGUCUGACGCAGCGACGCCGCGUGCGGGAUGAAGGCCCUCGGGUUGUAAACCGCUGUCACCUGGGAGUAAGGGUCCGUAGGUUAAGAGCUAAUGGAUUUUGAUUUAACCAGGAGAGGAAGCACCGGCUAACUCCGUGCCAGCAGCCGCGGUAAUACGGAGGGUGCAAGCGUUGUUCGGAAUCACUGGGCUUAAAGGGUCCGUAGGCGGCAGGAUAACUCAGGUGUGGAAUCUUCGGGCUUAACCCGGAAAUUGCGCCUGAAAAUGUUCUGCUAGAGGGCAGAAGGGGUGAGUGGAACUUCUGGUGGAGCGGUGAAAUGCGUAGAUAUCAGAAGGAACGCCGGANGCGAAAGCGACUCACUGGUCUGUUUCUGACGCUGAGGGACGAAAGCUAGGGGAGCAAACGGGAUUAGAUACCCCGGUAGUCCUAGCCGUAAACGAUGAGCACUAGAUGGUGGGAUCUUCGGAUCUCGCUGUCGUANGGAAACCAUUAAGUGCUCCGCCUGGGGAGUACGGCCGCAAGGUUAAAACUCAAAGGAANUNGACGGGGGCUCGCACAAG
rnacentral:rRNA from 1 species